rnacentral:rRNA from 1 species
ACUCCUACGGGAGGCAGCAGUAGGGAAUAUUGGACAAUGGGCGCAAGCCUGAUCCAGCAAUGCCGCGUGAGUGAUGAAGGCCUUAGGGUUGUAAAGCUCUUUUACCCGGGAUGAUAAUGACAGUACCGGGAGAAUAAGCUCCGGCUAACUCCGUGCCAGCAGCCGCGGUAAUACGGAGGGAGCUAGCGUUGUUCGGAAUUACUGGGCGUAAAGCGCACGUAGGCGGCUAUUCAAGUCAGAGGUGAAAGCCCCGGGGGCUCAACCCCGGAACUGCCUUUGAAACUAGAUAGCUUGAAUCCAGGAGAGGUGAGUGGAAUUCCGAGUGUAGAGGUGAAAUUCGUAGAUAUUCGGAAGAACACCAGUGGCGAAGGCGGCUCACUGGACUGGUAUUGACGCUGAGGUGCGAAAA